CGCUCGGCUCCGCCCAGGGCCCCUGCUGGGCAGGCAACCGGGUCCAGGCGUUCAGCGCCGGCGGCGUGCCGAAGCGGCUGCGGCUAGCAGUGGGGCGGCAGGGCACCAGAAAGCUCCGGAGCGGUCGCUGCUCACCCGUCCGACGCCGACUGCUGCCCGGGGCCCCCUACUGCCGUUGGAGAUAACGAGGCGGGCAGCGCCGCCGGCUGUGAGGUCACAGCACUGCCCGGGCACAGGCAGCAGGCCUGCCCCGCCUCGGCAGCGCUGGGCCGACCACCCCCGGCUCCUCGGGGACCCUGGGAUGGCGCCUCCAAAUCAGGCGCCUGCGGUGGAGCAGACAGCAGUGCGAAUUCUUCAGCAACCCCUGGAAUCAUUUCAGACAUUUCAGCAACAGAUUCUGGAGAAUAUUAAUGUGGUAAAUGUAGAACACAAAAUGUUCUUAAAAUACAAAAGUCUCCUGCAGCAUUUUUCAAUAUGACCAUAAGUUUUUCACUUAAAAUCUGUUCUUAGACUAUUGCCUACGCUAAGUAUACAAUUAAUCAUCUGUCCAUCUUAAAAUAGCUCAUCAGAUAAUCACACUUGUAGGUUCUUGCUUUCUCUUAGCCACAGUAUUUUUGGGGGUAUUAUAGAAAACUACUUUUAAAGCUCAGAAAGAGAGGGAAAACAAAACUGAGCUAGGAAAAAAUGGAGCGGUAGGGGGAGGACUGGAUCCUACAUCACUGUACACUCAAGGAAGCUCUGCUUCAUUAAUUCCACAUUAUGCCACUUGUUAGCACAACCUCUUCUAUUGUUGCACACUGACACAUUUCACCAAAUGCAAAACCUUUUUCAGCCAUUGUUUUA